rnacentral:rRNA from 1 species
UACGUAGGGUCCGAGCGUUGUCCGGAAUUAUUGGGCGUAAAGAGCUCGUAGGCGGUUUGUCGCGUCUGCUGUGAAAUCCCGAGGCUCAACCUCGGGCCUGCAGUGGGUACGGGCAGACUGGAGUGCGGUAGGGGAGAACGGAAUUCCUGGUGUAGCGGUGAAAUGCGCAGAUAUCAGGAGGAACACCGGUGGCGAAGGCGGUUCUCUGGGCAUUACCUGACGCUGAGGAGCGAAAGCAUGGGGAGCGAACAGG